rnacentral:rRNA from 1 species
GAUGAACGCUAGCGGCAGGCUUAAUACAUGCAAGUCAAGGGGGUAGCAAUACAACCGGCGCACGGGUGAGUAACGCGUACACAACAUACCAUAUACUGGGGUAUAGCUUUGGGAAACUGAAGGUUAAUCCCCCAUAACAUUGCGAGAGGGCAUCUGAUUGCAAUUAAAGUUUCGGCGGUAUAUGAUUGGUGUGCGUUUGAUUAGCUAGUUGGUAGGGUAACGGCCUACCAAGGCGACGAUCAAUAGCUGGCGUGAGAGCGCGACCAGCCACACUGGAGCUGAGACACGGUCCAGACUCCUACGGGAGGCAGCAGUAGGGAAUAUUGGACAAUGGGCGCAAGCCUGAUCCAGCCAUGCCGCGUGAUAGAUGAAGGCCCUCUGGGUUGUAAAUAUCUUUUAUCUGGGAAGAAACUCCUCUAUUCUUAGAGGCCUGACGGUACCAGAGGAAUAAGCACCGGCUAACUCCGUGCCAGCAGCCGCGGUAAU